rnacentral:rRNA from 1 species
UACUCCCGAGAGACCGAUAGUGAACCAGUACCGUGAGGGAAAGGUGAAAAGCACUUCGAACAGAAGAGUGAAAUAGUCCCUGAACCCAUACGCCUACAAGCUGUCGGAGCCGCUUCGUGCGGUGACGGCGUGCCUUUUGCAUAAUGAGCCUACGAGUUACUCAUCACCAGCGAGGUUAAGUACUUCAGGUACGUAAGCCGAAGCGAAAGCGAGUCUGAAUAGGGCGUCAAGUUGGUGGUGGUAGACGCGAAACCUUAGUGAUCUACCCAUGGGCAGGGUGAAGGUUUGGUAACACAAACUGGAGGCCCGAACCGGUAAACGUUGAAAAGUUUUCGGAUGACCUGUGGGUAGGGGUGAAAGGCCAAUCAAACUGGGAAAUAGCUCGUACUCUCCGAAAUGCAUUUAGGUGCAGCCUCUGUUGUUUUGUUCUAGAGGUAGAGCUACUGAUUGGAUGCGAGGGCUUCACCGCCUAUCAAAUCCGGCCAAACUCCGAAUGCUAGAACAUGAAGACAGGGAGUGAGCCAGCGGGUGCUAAGGUCCGUUGACGAAAGAGGGAGAACUCAGACCAUCAGCUAAGGUCCCCAAUUGUAUGCUAAGUUGGAAUUAAAACGGGGUGGGACUGCUUAGACAGCUAGGAUGUUGGCUUGGAAGCAGCCAUUCAUUUAAAGAGUGCGUAACAGCUCACUAGUCGAGCGGUCCUGCAUGGAUAAUACGCGGGCAUAAGCAUAUAACCGAAGCUAUGGGAUUGUAGAUGAUACAAUCGGUAGGAGAGCAUUCCAUUCAGCAUAGAAGCAGUACCGUGAGGUAUUGUGGAGCGUAUGGAAAAGCAAAUGUAGGCAUGAGUAACGAUAAUGCGGGUGAGAACCCCGCACGCCGAAAGAUCAAGGAUUCCCCGGCAAUGUCAAUCAUCCGGGGGUAAGUCGGAUCCUAAGGGUAAGCCGAGUGGCGAUCCCGAUGGCAAACAGGUUAAUAUUCCUGUACUGAUCAUAACUGCGAUGCAGCGACGCAGAGGUGACACUGCUGCGUACUGACGGAAUAGUACGUUGAAACCCGUAUUCUUUGAUACCGGUAGUGAAGCACGCCGGUAGAGAUGAAAGGUGAUAGUACCGCAAUGCUUCGGUUGCGCGGAUAAUGCAGGUAAGCUGACUGCCAAGAAAACCUGCUAAGCUUCAGGUAAUGAUCAUCCGUACUGUAAACGGACACACGUGAUCGGGUAGAAAAUACUAAGGCGCUCGAGAGAUUCAUGGUUAAGGAACUAGGCAAAAUGGUCCUGUAACUUCGGGAUAAAGGACGCUCUUGUGAAAGAGCCGCAGAUAAUAGGCCCAGGCGACUGUUUACCAAAAACACAUGGCUAUGCUAAUUCGCAAGAAGAUGUAUAUGGCCUGACACCUGCCCGGUGCCGGAAGGUUAAGAGGAGAGCUCAGAGGUAACUCGAAGGUUUGAAUUGAAGCCCCGGUAAACGGCGGCCGUAACUAUAACGGUCCUAAGGUAGCGAAAUUCCUUGUCGGGU